GCCGCGGUAAUACGGAGGGUGCGAGCGUUAAUCGGAAUUACUGGGCGUAAAGCGCAUGCAGGUGGUUUGUUAAGUCAGAUGUGAAAGCCCGGGGCUCAACCUCGGAAUUGCAUUUGAAACUGGCAGGCUAGAGUACUGUAGAGGGGGGUAGAAUUUCAGGUGUAGCGGUGAAAUGCGUAGAGAUCUGAAGGAAUACCGGUGGCGAAGGCGGCCCCCUGGACAGAUACUGACACUCAGAUGCGAAAGCGUGGGGAGCAAACAGGAUUAGAUACCC
rnacentral:rRNA from 1 species